UACGUAGGGUGCAAGCGUUAAUCGGAAUUACUGGGCGUAAAGCGUGCGCAGGCGGCUAUGCAAGACAGAUGUGAAAUCCCCGGGCUCAACCUGGGAACUGCAUUUGUGACUGCAUGGCUAGAGUACGGUAGAGGGGGAUGGAAUUCCGCGUGUAGCAGUGAAAUGCGUAGAUAUGCGGAGGAACACCGAUGGCGAAGGCAGCAAACUGGGCAUCAUCUGACGCUGAGGCGCGAAAGCGUGGGUAGCAAACAGG
rnacentral:rRNA from 1 species